rnacentral:rRNA from 1 species
UAGAGUUUGAUCCUGGCUCAGGAUGAACGCUGGCGGUAUGCUUAACACAUGCAAGUCGAACGGGAUGCUUAGGCAUCUAGUGGCGGACGGGUGAGUAACGCGUGAGAAUCUGGCUCCAGGUCGGGGAUAACAGUUGGAAACGACUGCUAAUACCGGAUGUGCCGAGAGGUGAAAGAUUUAUUGCCUGGAGAUGAGCUCGCGUCUGAUUAGCUAGUUGGUGGUGUAAGGGACCACCAAGGCGUCGAUCAGUAGCUGGUCUGAGAGGAUGAUCAGCCACACUGGGACUGAGACACGGCCCAGACUCCUACGGGAGGCAGCAGUGGGGAAUUUUCCGCAAUGGGCGAAAGCCUGACGGAGCAAUACCGCGUGAGGGAGGAAGGCUCUUGGGUCGUAAACCUCUUUUCUCAAGGAAGAAGAAAGUGACGGUACUUGAGGAAUAAGCAUCGGCUAACUCCGUGCCAGCAGCCGCGGUAAUACGAGGAUGCAAGCGUUAUCCGGAAUGAUUGGGCGUAAAGGGUCUGCAGGUGGAACUGAAAGUCUGCUGUUAAAGAGUUUGGCUUAACCAAAUAAAAGCGGUGGAAACUACAGAACUAGAGUGCGGUAGGGGCAAAAGGAAUUCCUGGUGUAGCGGUGAAAUGCGUAGAUAUCAGGAAGAACACCGGUGGCGAAAGCGUUUUGCUAGACCGUAACUGACACUGAGGGACGAAAGCUAGGGGAGCGAAUGGGAUUAGAUACCCCAGUAGUCCUAGCCGUAAACGAUGGAUACUAGGCGUGGCUUGUAUCGACCCGAGCCGUGCCGGAGCUAACGCGUUAAGUAUCCCGCCUGGGGAGUACGCACGCAAGUGUGAAACUCAAAGGAAUUGACGGGGGCCCGCACAAGCGGUGGAGUAUGUGGUUUAAUUCGAUGCAACGCGAAGAACCUUACCAAGACUUGACAUCCUGCGAAUCCCGGUGAAAGCUGGGAGUGCCUUAGGGAGCGCAGAGACAGGUGGUGCAUGGCUGUCGUCAGCUCGUGUCGUGAGAUGUUGGGUUAAGUCCCGCAACGAGCGCAACCCUCGUUUUUAGUUGCCAGCAUUAAGUUGGGCACUCUAGAGAGACUGCCGGUGACAAACCGGAGGAAGGUGAGGAUGACGUCAAGUCAGCAUGCCCCUUACGUCUUGGGCUACACACGUACUACAAUGCUACGGACAGAGGGCAGCAAGCCAGGGAUGGCAAGCGAAUCCAGAAACCGUAGCUCAGUUCAGAUCGAAGGCUGCAACUCGCCUUCGUGAAGGAGGAAUCGCUAGUAAUUGCAGGUCAGCAUACUGCAGUGAAUUCGUUCCCGGGCCUUGUACACACCGCCCGUCACACCAUGGAAGUUGGUCACGCCCGAAGUCAUUACCCCAACCGAAAGGAGGGGGAUGCCUAAGGUAGGACUGGUGACUGGGGUGA